UGAAGACUCCGAGUAGUUGAAAAAAAUGGAGAAGACGAGCUUCGGCAAAAACAACAACAUUUGUUUUUCACGAUGAACUUUCUUACUUCGGUUGGAGGAGAUGAGAAACAACUUACAGCGGCAAUCUUAAUAAAGCUAAUGGCCAAAGAAGUAUGUUUUUCAUACUGAGUGUAUGGAAUGUAACAAAAACGUCCUGCAAGGUCGUUAUAGAUUUGCGUUUAGUCAUUUAUCGUUGUAUUCGUUCAUUUCGAAAUCGCUACUGACAAAAGUAUUAAAGAAAAAAAUUGGCAGCUUUCUGGCGACGGCCAUUAAUAGAGAUUACGGAAGAAAGAUAGAACCGUAACUGAGCAACGCCCAAUAUUGAGCAAUGAAAUAAGUAUCGCCAAUAUAAUGAAAGUCGAUGUCCACUAUCUCAUAGUGAGAGUAUAAUACAG